UACUUGAGGGGAAAAAACGAAAUUAGGAAAGAAACCAUUUAUGAUAACUCAAAGGGAAGCUCAUUACUUUUCGAAGCCAGAUCGGGAUGCCUUAGAACACGCACGUAUAAAGCGAGAUAUAAGAAGGAAGAAGAAGCAUGUGCUUGCUGCGGUAAAACUAGGGAAACGACGGAGCAUAUUUUAUUAGAAUGUGAAGACAUCUAUCCAGCGGUCGAUUUAGGCACCACUGGCCUCCUUGAAGCCCUCGGGUUCAGCGGGAGCAGUGGUAAAGCAAACAGGUCCGCAAUAGACAUCAGUAAGAGGCGAUUGGAGGAUUGGUGGAAGAAAAGUAGGGAAACGACAAAGGACGGAGACGUACAAAAGCACAGUUCGCAAUAGGGUAUCAGAAAAUUUGGACGUGGUAGUUCAUAGUGUGUUUUUUUUUUCUCAUGGGUUAACCUAGGUAGGAUAUUAGGCAGCAUAGUAGCAAGAGCUUGGUGGCGCAAGCCACCGCCCCGUUCCAAAGGGGACGCUCAUAACAUCCAUCCAUCCAUCCAUCCGUUAGGAGUGGCAGACGGAGAUGCACAUGUGUAGUCAGCCGGCAUUUUUCGAGUCGUGUUGUAAAUGUUGUUAAUUCGCCGUAAAUAUCUCUUGAUUUGUACUCAAGGGUGGAGCAAGAGCCCAAGGAAGAGAGAUUGACGCAUCGGGAGCGAAGAACAGGAACGAUGGAUGGUUACGCUGCUUGGGUCUCGGCACGUUCGAAUUGGCAAAGUUCCGAAUUUGUUGCUGUGUUGUGUACGCUUGUGCGCUCGUUAUUUGCCGUCAUCGCGCGGAGAUAUUUGCGCUGGAUGUCUUUCACUUUGUGUACAAAACUCUGCUCGCUGCGGCAUCGAAGAAGUUGUCCUGUGUUUGGGUGCACGUAUGCGCUUGGACACGGAUAGCCUGCUUGCUCUCAACGGGUGUUCAACAGUCUACGCGCGCUCGUAACUUGCUCAUGAGGCAAGUUGCUGUUGUGCUGGAGCUGAGAAGAGGUCUGCUGCCUGCAAUGGGUCCAUCUCUCUCAAGUUAUUGCAGUAUUAUAGCUCUCAAGUGGGAUUACUGCAUGCGUUCAAAAAAGUAUGGUGGAAGCUGUUGCCAAGGUUCCGACCAGAAAAGACAGCCAGUAUAAAAGGGUCCACGCCACUGAUCUCUACUACAGGGGAUGAACAGCACAUCGAGCGCCCUCGACUGAAGCCGGCCUUGUCCCGGAAGUUGGUGCUUCACAACUUUGCGGCAGCACUUUGUUGCACGGCCUGUGGAGACAAGGUUUCUUAGACAUGGCCGUGGCCCUCAAGGAAGAUGCCGAGGCCACAGGCAGUUCCUCCAGUGACCGUGAAAAGGUCCCCUGGGGCACAAGUCUGGUUUGGCACCCCCACCUUUCUCCUGCAGCUUUUCUGUCUACUUAGCUAACCAGCAGCAAGUUUAUCCUUGCAAGCGUUUGGAGUCAAGAACAACUUUCACCAGGAAGAAGUGCAAGACGAGUGAUUGAAGAAAAUAAAGUUGCUUCUGUGAUCUAAGAA